ensembl:lncRNA
UUGGUAGACAAUAAACAUUUAUUGAUCUUUGGCUUUAGAAAUUGUAUUACUUUAUGGAUAUGGGAAAUACUAUAUAAAAUAAUGGAAAGGUUUUUUUAGUUCUUUACAGUGUACAAGUGCAAGGCAUGCAGAGGACAUGUACGGAUGCUAAAAUACUAUAGGAACAUUACUGCAGUAGACAUUGUAUGUCCAAUAUGGGUUAACGUUUUACAAAGGCAAGCAAGUUGAAGGAGCCACUUGAUAAACAGCAGAUAUCACAGUUUCUCUUAGAUUUGCUGUGGUAUUACCAUGAGCAACUAAUAGACAUAAAUUUCAUUUUAAUAAUGUGUGCAUUAUAAAAGUGGAGUUAAACUGUAACGUUUCAACAAAAUGAGUAGGGAAUAAGAAAGUAUAACCUGCCUGAGUUUUGUGAAAUUUACUGUUGUUAAAGAAAUUUAGGCAUUUAAAUGACAAACCAAUUCUUAUAAUUUUCAUAUUAAUAUAAAAUGAGCAAGGCAAAACUAGCUUCUUAGAUGCUCUACAGUAAAAAAUGUAAUGUAACUCCUUACAAAUAGCGUAAGGAAAUAUCUAGCAAGCUUACUCUACCAGGUUUUCCCAAACAGUGUACCAUAUACAGUAUGGAUUCCUAUAACCACUUGUUAGAGCUAAAAGUUCAACGUGCUGUGACAAGCCUUCCUCAGAAGAAGGCUUCCUUUGGUAGAUUUGAAUCAGCAACACCAUCUCAAUUUACAAUCACUUCACAUGCAGAAUGUAUAAUUAACUCAGGAGCAGGGGCCUGUUGUUUCCUCACUUUUUUAACCUCCUUGCUGAACCAGUCAUGUUCUACCUUCAGCUUCUGCAUUCCUGAAGGUGGACAAGCAGCUUUAAAGUAAGGGUGAUUUCACUAUUGAAUACUCUUAACAGAAAUCUACAAAAUUCUACAAUGUGUAACUUUUGGAAGCUUGGUGUUGGUCAGCAGUAUCACGAUUGGUACUCUUUGUGCUCCAAAUCCAUAAGGAUUCAGUGACCUUCAGUAUUGUCUUUCUGAGCCCAAGCAGAACUACUUAUUUGGCUGAAAUCACCCAUGUGCCUGGGGUAUUAAUUAACACCCAGGUGUCACUACAAAACUUUGUAAGUCAAACCAUUCCAAAUCUUGUAAACACUUGCCCUCAGUCAUAAAGAAAACAAUGCAGAGGUGGCAGGUGGCAGAGGCAGGGGUGUUAAUUUAAAUUAGCAGUGUUCAAUUAUCAGUCAGAUAUGCCCAAAAUUGUUAGAUUACCAUUUAAGUAAGAGGCAUGGAAAACAUUUCUUCAAACUCUUACUUGUUUCCAGUAUGUAAUAGCACAAAACCACACAUGGAUAUUACAUAAGCCAAAAAUUAUAUGAAAAAAAUAAUUUCAUAGCAAACCCUAUUUCAAGGGCUACCAGAAUCACCCACAAUUAGGCACUUUACAGUGUACAAAAAGAAUAUUACUGGAGGUUGUUUAUUAGCUGUCAUAGUAGUACCCAAGUAUUAUCCACACCACUAAAAAAAAACCCAAAACAACCAAAAAAACACCCCAAAGUGAGCUUUUUCAACCUGUGUUGUGCUCUUCUGAUCACAGAUCCUGAUGAACAUUUAAAAGUAUAGGAGCCAAUUUGUUUUUAAACAGCAGGUAAUGCAACACCAGAUCCAUAUAAUGCAAACACCACUUGACACCAUCCUCACUGUGAAGCAUGACAGUCUUAGUACUUGUAAAGCUGUAACUAUAAAAAUCAUAUUUUAACAGUAUUGUAGCAGUAAGAGGAAGCUAAAAUUUACAUAUAUAACACCAGAGUCUUUUCCAUUUGGCAAAUUCUGAAAUGAAGGGAAGGGAACCUUUUUGUCUUAGGUCUUUAUUCUACAGUAGAAAGUAUUAUGUGCUUUUUCACUUAAAGACAAAAAUAAAAAAGACGAUUCAGUGAGGAACAACACUGAAUUUGUGUGUUCCCAGCAACAAUGAGACAAGUAGAAGAUUUAAAGUUAAAUAUUUACAACCUGAAAAAUGUUCCCUGUGCAAUUUGUAACAUGUCUACCUUAUGAGAAAUUUUAGGCUGAAAUUAUUUAAUAGCAUCUCUGUAUUAAUAUUUGCUCACAUAAAUGGGAAGACUGAAACAUUAGACAGCUUUCUGUAACUUCUAUUACAGAAUUUUUUCCCAUGUAUAUUCCUCCCAGAAAGCCUUACAUACUGUUAACAAUGGAGCAAAGGAAUGACCAAAGAUAGGAAAAAUAAAAACUGUUGGUACAUCAUUACAUGGGUAUGAACUGUAGUUAUGAAAUACAAUUUUUGGUGCCUUUUUCUUCGUCCUAUGUUUUUAUGAAAAAUACUGUGAAUAUGUAUUCUGGAAGCUUAGAACACAUGCGGGAGGCAGAGGAAGAGAGAAUAAGUCUGACUUUAAGCAUAGGAAUUUUAAGCCAGGUUUUAAAAAAUAUAUUGCGGCACAAUGAAAGAAUAAUUACUUCCUACUAAGGAGUUCGUAAAAAGCUAUUCAAUGUUCUUUUGAGAUGUGUAUUUUAUAGAUAGCAGAGUUAUAUGGAUAGUAUGUUGUUGAGAAAAAAAUGCUGCAAGUACAAAUUCUAAGGGCUCUUGACUGAUGUGUAAUUAAAUGGAAAAAUCUGGUAUUUACAGGUGGAUUUUGGACUUUGCUAUAAAACUGCAUACCUGUUAAUACUUCAGCCUAAACACCAAGCUUUAAAAAAAAUAGUGUAGAAGUUUCUGGCUUCUAGUUGCAGGCACUGAUAUUAAUUUAAAAAAAAGGAAAUAUGAUUCAUAGUAUUAGGAUUAAAAAUAAUUUCCAUUAAAAACAUCACUGAAAUCAAAAGUAUAAAAAUACAUAUACACUGGCAUGCAAAACAACAUCCAGUGCAAUAUUACCCUCCUGGCAGUCUACAGUGAGAGACUGGAAAAAGUUAAGUGCAGCAUAUACAGAUGUCAGUAAAAGCAGCCUGGAAAUGACAUAUUGGCUUAAUCUCACCUAGAGGAGGAAGACCUUUCAGUCUAGUACUCUGGAGUGCAAAUGAGACAUGCCAUCUACUUCACUGUGUGUGCUGCACAGGCCACAAAGCAUGGCAGGUGUUCCUAAAGGAGUUGCCAAAAAUCACUCUGAAGCAGAGACACCAAUCUGCAUCAGCCUGCAUCAGACAGCUGGCUUCUAAGCAUCUGUUGCCUAGAUGCUCUUUAGAGCGAGGUCAAAAUAUUGCUCUUUAUUUACCAUUUGGGAUUUGGGCUGCAGAUGCUAAAAAUAACAGUCUUACUCAUAAUUCACAUUUAAUAUUUAAGAUACAAGUAAGGUAACCUGCGGUUGCUGUCCUUCAUUAAGAUUUUGCUCUGGCAUAACAGAUUUCUCCAAGAGAACAGCAGUUUUCUUUGGCCUCAUUCAAUGUCUCCAUUUUACAUGGGCAUUCAAUUCUUUAACUAAAAGCAUCUAGGAACUUUAUAGUGAAAAAAUUAACUGUGGGGUUAAGUCUGGGUGUGGAGGGGCUGUGUUGAACAAAUUAAUGUGCAAAAUGUGCCAUGAGAAAAACCAUGAAGCAUAGUAUUUCAAAACUGAUCAAAAUUAUCUCAGUGAAAAGCACAGCUAUUUGAGAAUAAAGACACAUAAGGCCUUUUACCUUGGAGAACCUUGCACAGCUUUAAGAUCAGAUGUGUUCAAUUUUCUAUUUGAUAUAUCCAAAAUGCCUAUUACCACCUAGGUGUAGUUACUCCAACAAAGUCCAGCACUUUGAAUUAUUCCCUGGAAGUUAGCUGACAUUUCUGUACUUGCUAACCGCUACAUAGGGUGAGGUUAUGUUGCCUAAAUAUUGCGUUGAUGUCUUAGUAGCAUUUUUGUUCUUAAGACAAAUUUGAUUUUACAAUCCAGGGAAGAACAUAUCUCUGUUUAAAUACUUGCAGUACUUGUGAUCGAAAUGCGGAGAAGAACAACUGUAACAGAAAUCAAUUUUUUGUAAGUAUCUUUUGUACAAGGAUGUUCUCUUGUACAGAAGAUACUUACAGAAAAUUAAUCUGUGGAUUCUUUAUGCAAGUGAAUUCUGGAAGAGGGAAAGACUGUGCAGCUAACAAAAUGUCAAAGUCUGGCAUAACCUAUAGCUUGAGAAGGAAUUAAAAGAGGACAAGUGCAGCCUGAGAAUGUCACCUACAAAGUGUAAGAAUAGGCUUUCUAUAAUCUAUUCUCCUGCUCUUAAUCAACUUCUCUUAGCUCAGAAAUAGCCCAAGUAUUAUGUUUGGACCUCCCUGAACUUGCUGGAAGACUGGGAUUUCUCGCUGUCUUAACCCUUUGUCUAAUGGGACCCACAUAAUAAAUAUGCAGAUUUUGAACAAAUGUUACAAAGUUUGUUCAUGUUUCAGAUGGAAUUUUAAGUUAUUUGAACUAUUUAAAGGAACUAAUCCUUCAAAAAUAGAUAAAUUAAACAGAAGUCAAAAUACAAUCUUGAACUAACUUAGCCUACUUAGUUCUGAGAAGGGAAGACAGGGACAGUGCUAUAGAUCGGCAAUGGAACUCGCAUCACUAAGAGAGGAAGGGAGAAUUGAAUUUAAGAAGAAAGAAACAGACAUGGAUUCUUUGCCAAAGGAACAUUUCCUUCUAAAAUCUCUCAGAAACUAAGGGAGAUCUCACUGUGGCCUUCCAGUUCUUAAAGGGGGCUUAUAAAAAAGAGAAUAUUUGCGCAGGCAGGAAGUGAUAGGACAAGGGGAAACACUUCUAAACUAGAAGAGGGGAGAUUUACAUUAGGUGUUGGAUGAAGACUCUUGCCUGUGAAGGUGGUGAGGCACUAGAUAAGGUUACCCAGAGAAGCUGUGGCUGCUCAUCUCUGGAGGUGCUCAAGGCCAUGUUUGAUGGGGCUUGGAGCAACCUGGUCUGAUGAAAAGUGGUCCAUUCUAGAUCCAUUCCAACCCAAACCAUUCUACAAUUUUUUUUAUUAAGUAGUGAGCAAAAAGCAAGAAAAAAUGUUUAAGAAACCUGAGUAACACCUACCAACCUUUCAGUCAUAUUUUAUUCCUUUUCCAUUUCUGCAAGAUGCUUUCCCCCCAUCGCCAGGUGCUGAUAAAGGUCUCCAUGACACAAACAAAAAAACCAUUUGCCAGCUGCUGUUUCAAAGGAACUUACUACAGAGGUGAGCAGAUAUUCCUUUGAACCUUACACAAUAUACAUAUAAGUCAGGACUAUCAGGGUUGCUACUUUACUUUUAAAACACAUUUUUGAUUAUAUCACAUACUUGUCAGAAGCACUGCUCACAACCUUAGCAAUAUACUCCCUCUGGUUUCACUGUCACCACAUGUUUCAAAGGCUUUUAUUAGCAUAUUUUAGUUUUUCAUAAGCUUUCUGGACUUAUGUCAGGAUUAAUGGAUCCAAAGAAAGACCAUCGCCCACUCACUGCUGACCAGAGGUCAGUCAUUCAAUUCUGCUGAACAAUCGUCUGGAGAACAAUGCAAUAGCACAGUGGCUACAAGCACUGAUCUUCAUGUUUGUAAUACCAGGUGCCUAUUUUUCACUGUGAUCACUGUGAUGUCUGAACAGUAAGUCAGCAUGAGCUCUUAGCAAAAGCUUUGUGAAGCUCAGCUACAUGACCCUUAUUACUUUUGCUGCAUGCAUUAUUAUAUAACUACAGUUCACUUUUGCUUAUAAGCUUUCAGACUGACUAUGUCAACAAAAACUGUUGCUUAACAUCAUUUUCAAGUAUUCUCAAGUAUCCAAAAUUUACUCCUUCAGAUUUCAACACAAGGUUACAUCUCCUGUAUAGUAAGCUUCAUCAGGCAAUUUCACUAUCAGAAUCAAACUGGUUUGCAUUGUUUUAUUUUUCUGAACAAAAGAUUGGCAUUGAACACCUAACUCUAACCUAAAAGCUGGCCUUACUAAUUCUAUUAGUAAUGAUGUAUUUUGUAGUAAUAAUAUAUCUUGAACUAAUACAAAAGUGGGUCCAGUAUUGUUGGACUUGUCAUAUUUUGUCAUUCAAUUAUUCACCUGAAAAAUACUUCCCAGGAAUGCUUGACAUUUGAAACUAUGAGAUCAAAUAUUAUUCUUUAGGCCAAUUCACAGUUAAGCCUUUGUCCCUAUUAGUUACAAAAAGGUGGUCAUGUAAAAAGAAAGCUUGCAGUCCCAGUCACACUGAAAUACUGCAGUGAAACCAGCAGCGUCAUGCAAGGUGUGCUCAGACAUCCCAAACACAUGCAGUAGGUACUAGGCUGGUGUACACAAAUCUUUCCCCAAUAAAUGCAACUUAAUAAAUGAAUAAAUAACUUAAAAGGCUUUCAACACAGCAAGAUAGUUUAUCACCAACUUAAAAUCUUGAUUUUCGGAAUUCAUUGAGUUUGUUCUCCCAUAUGAUAGGUUUGCUACAUAUUAAAAAUUUAGUUAAGCUUUUCCAUUUAUAAAUGCUUAUCAUAUGCCAAAGCUGUACACAAAUUCAAGAGAAAAAGAACAGUAACAUAAAAAGAGCUAGUAUUAUCUAAAAAACCCACAGACCUCUGUGAAGUGUAAUAUUAACUGUUUAAAAAAGCUGCUGCAUAUAAAUCCCCAUUCCUGUUUUGCAAAUACACAAAACAGCUGAAAAACUGUAAAUAAUUUUAUGACUGGAAUCUAUCUAUCCAGUUAAGCAAAACCUGUAAGUUAAUACUUUGCUCUUUUUCUUGUUACACAGCAGUUUUAUUACACAUAAAAUCUAUUUCUGAAGCCAAGAUAUAUUAAUUACCAUUAUAUGGUCAUGUUAGCACAAAUUAAAGUGGCAAAAGACGAUGAUUUGACAGAGCAGAAACUUUAAGAUUAAUAGGUUAAGUAGAUCUUUUCUUCCAAGACAGUGUAAGUUCUUUAGUAUAGCUAAGUACCUCUAAAGAAGAACAAAAACCAAAUAGCCCUUUCAACGGAAAAAAAAAAAAAAAAAAAAAAAAG